rnacentral:rRNA from 1 species
CCCCAGACUCCUACGGGAGGCAGCAGUGGGGAAUAUUGCACAAUGGGCGCAAGCCUCAUGCAGCCACGCGCCGUGCAUGAAGAAGCCAUCCGCGUUGUCCAGUACUUUCAGCCGGGAGGAAGGCGAUAAGGUUAAUACACUUGUCGAUUGACGUCACCCGCAGCAGAAGCACCGGCUAAACACGUGCACGCAGACGCGGUAAUACGGAGGGUGCAAGCGUUAAUCGGAAUUACUGGGCGUAAAGCGCACGCAGGCGGUCUGUCAAGUCGGAUGUGAAAUCCCCGGGCUCAACCUGGGAACUGCAUUCGAAACUGGCAGGCUGGAGUCUUGUAGAGGGGGGUAGAAUUCCAGGUGUAGCGGUGAAAUGCGUAGAGAUCUGGAGGAAUACCGGUGGCGAAGGCGGCCCCCUGGACAAAGACUGACGCUCAGGUGCGAAAGCGUGGGGAGCAAACAGGAUUAGAUACCCCUGUA